rnacentral:rRNA from 1 species
CAGUCGCCGCGGGAAUACGAAGGGUGCAAGCGUUACUCGGAAUUACUGGGCGUAAAGCGUGCGUAGGUGGUGGUUUAAGUCCGUUGUGAAAGCCCUGGGCUCAACCUGGGAAUUGCAGUGGAUACUGGGUCACUAGAGUGUGGUAGAGGAUAGUGGAAUUUCCGGUGUAGCAGUGAAAUGCGUAGAGAUCGGAAGGAACAUCUGUGGCGAAGGCGACUAUCUGGGCCAACACUGACACUGAGGCACGAAAGCGUGGGGAGCAAACAGGAUUAGAGACCCGGGUAGUCCCUGUCUCUUAUAA